rnacentral:rRNA from 1 species
GUCCAGACUCCUACGGGAGGCAGCAGUGGGGAAUAUUGCACAAUGGGGGAAACCCUGAUGCAGCGACGCCGCGUGAGUGAAGAAGUAUUUCGGUAUGUAAAGCUCUAUCAGCAGGGAAGAAAAUGACGGUACCUGACUAAGAAGCCCCGGCUAACUACGUGCCAGCAGCCGCGGUAAUACGUAGGGGGCAAGCGUUAUCCGGAUUUACUGGGUGUAAAGGGAGCGUAGACGGCAUGGCAAGUCAGAUGUGAAAGCCCGGGGCUCAACCCCGGGACUGCAUUUGAAACUGUCAGGCUGGAGUGCAGGAGAGGUAAGUGGAAUUCCUAGUGUAGCGGUGAAAUGCGUAGAUACUAGGAGGAACACCAGUGGCGAAGGCGGCUUACUGGACUGUAACUGACGUUGAGGCUCGAAAGCGUGGGGAGCAAACAGGAUUAGAUACCCGCGUA